GGCAGAACAGAGUGUGAUCAUGAGCUACCAUUCAGCUUUUAUGCUGAUUCAUCAGCUCACAGUGAAACGAGCUUGCAUGAGAGCAUCCCAGGAUCACUGAACAUUCAGAGAUGCUGUGCUGGGGCCUGAGCAAAGCCAGGCAAGAUGUGGUUCCUGCUAUCAAGCUGACUGACAUCUAUCAGAAAGAACAGAUCACGACAUGGUAUCCUGCUAUGUUGACGAGGCUGGUCUCAAACUCCUGGACCCACGAGACUCUCCUGCCUUGGCCUCCCAAAGUGCUGGGAUUACAGAGAUGAGCCACUGUGCCUGGCCACUGUUUUUUAAAUAUUAAGAAAAAAAUGAAUAGAGAGAAGGUGAGCAGAAAGGAGGCACGAAGAAAGUGCAGUUGUCUGGACAACAAAAUCAGAAACAAAAGCACGGAUGUGGAGAGGGAGGGAUGAAACGUAAAUGAUAAUAAAAAGAGAAUCAAUA